UGAACGCUGGCGGCGUGCCUAAUACAUGCACGUCGAGCGAACGGACGAGAAGCUUGCUUCUCUGAUGUUAGCGGCGGACGGGUGAGUAACACGUGGAUAACCUACCUAUAAGACUGGGAUAACUUCGGGAAACCGGAGCUAAUACCGGAUAAUAUUUUGAACCGCAUGGUUCAAAAGUGAAAGACGGUCUUGCUGUCACUUAUAGAUGGAUCCGCGCUGCAUUAGCUAGUUGGUAAGGUAACGGCUUACCAAGGCAACGAUGCAUAGCCGACCUGAGAGGGUGAUCGGCCACAAUGGAACUGAGAAACGGUCCAGACUCCUACGGGAGGCAGCAGUAGGGAAUCUUCCGCAAUGGGCGAAAGCCUGACGGAGCAACGCCGCGUGAGUGAUGAAGGUCUUCGGAUCGUAAAACUCUGUUAUUAGGGAAGAACAUAUGUGUAAGUAACUGUGCACAUCUUGACGGUACCUAAUCAGAAAGCCACGGCUAACUACGUG
rnacentral:rRNA from 1 species